rnacentral:misc_RNA from 1 species
UUUCCGUAGGUGAACCUGCGGAAGGAUCAUUAAAAAAUAUCACUCGAUUGAGAGUGAUUUAAUAAUCAUCCUACCCUUUGUGAAUUUGUUGUUUGAAAUAAUUUUUUUGAUUUUAAAAAAAAAAUUAUUUAUGGUUUGUCUAUCCCAAAAUUGGUUUGUUGUGAAAGUGAAUCAAAUUUAGGGAAUAGGCUUUCAUAAAUAAGUUUUUUUUAAAGUCUUAAAGACCUUUUUUUAAAAUUAAACUUUUGUAUUCAUUUGUCUAAAUAAUUUUUAAAAUAAUUUAAAAACAACUUUUGACAAUGGAUCUCUUGGUUCUCGCAACGAUGAAGAACGCAGCAAAAUGCGAUAAGUAAUGUGAAUUGCAGAAUACGUGAAUCAUCAAAUCUUCGAACGCAUAUUGCACUUUUUUAGUUUACUAAGAAAGUAUGUCUGUUUGAGUAUCAGUAAAAUAUUCUCAUAAAAACAUUUUUGUUUUUAUGGUUAUGAGUGUUUUACAACGAUAAACAAGUUGUUUCACUUUAAAUUCAUUUUAAUUUAAGACCAUUUAUGGUUUUAAUAAAAAAUUGGAUAAAAUUUUCCGUAAAAAGGAAUAAACUUUUCAGUUUUUAAUUAUUACCAACAAACGUCCGAUUUAAAAGGAAAUUUAUUUAAAUAACUUGAUCUCAAAUCGAUAAGAGUACCCGCUGAACUUAAGCAUAUCAAUAAGCGGAGGAAAGAAACUAACAAGGAUUCCCUUAGUAACGGCGAGUGAAGCGGGAAGAGCUCAAAUUUGAAAUCUUCAAGGUUCUACCUUGACGAAUUGUAGUUUAAAGAAGUGUUUUCUGUUAGAUGAGUAGCAAAAGUUCCUUGGAAUGGGACAUCAUAGAGGGUGAGAAUCCCGUAUUUGGUUAUUCAUUCUAGCUUUGUGUACACUUUCAAAGAGUCGGAUUGUUUGGGAAUGCAGUCCAAAAUGGGUGGUAAAUUUCAUCUAAAGCUAAAUAUUGGCGAGAGACCGAUAGCGAACAAGUACGUGAGGGAAAGAUGAAAAGAACUUUGAAAAGAGAGUUAAACAGUACGUGAAAUUGUCAAAAGGGAAGCGUUUGACACCAGUGUUGUUUUUCCGAAAAUCAAUUACGAAUGGCUUGAUUUUGUGUUGUAUUGACCUUAUCAGCUUUCUUCACUUUUUUCGAGUCUUUCUUAUGCACUUUUCGGUUAACAAGUCAACAUCAAUUUCUUUUGUUGUAAAGAGUAUUCGGAAGGUGGCUUUCUUUUCGGAGAAAGUGUUUAUAGCCCUAUACUUCUACAAUCGGAGAGAUUGAGGUCUGCAGCGUAGAUCCUUCGGGGUUAGAUACAUUGUGCUAAGUUGUAGCUUUUCAUAGACAACUUGUUGACUAUGUUUAGUCAUGCGGCUUACUCGCUUUGCUAUUUUACCUACGCUUAGGAUGUU